AUUGAACGCUGGCGGCAGGCCUAACACAUGCAAGUCGAGCGGAUGAAGGGAGCUUGCUCCUGGAUUCAGCGGCGGACGGGUGAGUAAUGCCUAGGAAUCUGCCUGGUAGUGGGGGAUAACGUCCGGAAACGGGCGCUAAUACCGCAUACGUCCUGAGGGAGAAAGUGGGGGAUCUUCGGACCUCACGCUAUCAGAUGAGCCUAGGUCGGAUUAGCUAGUUGGUGGGGUAAAGGCCUACCAAGGCGACGAUCCGUAACUGGUCUGAGAGGAUGAUCAGUCACGCUGAAACUGAGACAAGGUCCAGACUCCUACGGGAGGCAGCAGUGGGGAAUAUUGGACAAUGGGCGAAAGCCUGAUCCAGCCAUGCCGCGUGUGUGAAGAAGGUCUUCGGAUUGUAAAGCACUUUAAGUUGGGAGGAAGGGCAGUAAGUUAAUACCUUGCUGUUUUGACGUUACCAACAGAAUAAGCACCGGCUAACUUCGUG
rnacentral:rRNA from 1 species